rnacentral:rRNA from 1 species
AGAGUUUGAUCCUGGCUCAGAACGAACGCUGGCGGCAGGCCUAAGACAUGCAAGUCAAGGGGUCCAGCAAUGGACACCGGCGCACGGGUGCGUAACGCGUGGGAAUGUACCUCUAGGUGCGGAACAACACUGGGAAACUUGUGCUAAUACCGCAUAAUAUCUUCGGAUCAAAGAUUUAUCGCCUAGGGAUCAGCCCGCGUAAGAUUAGGUAGUUGGUAGGGUAAUGGCCUACCAAGCCUACGAUCUUUAGCUGGUCUGAGAGGAUGAUCAGCCACACUGGGACUGAGACACGGCCCAGACUCCUACGGGAGGCAGCAGUUAGGAAUAUUGGACAAUGGAGGAAACUCUGAUCCAGCCAUGCCGCGUGAGUGAAGAAGGCCUUCGGGUUGUAAAACUCUUUUAGUCGUGACGAUGAUGACGGUAGCGACAGAAAAAGCUCCGGCUAACUUCGUGCCAGCAGCCGCGGUAAUACGAAGGGAGCGAGCGUUGUUCGGAAUCACUGGGCUUAAAGCGUGCGUAGGCGGAUAAGAAAGUCAGGAGUGAAAUCCCGGGGCUCAACCCCGGAACUGCUUCUGAAACUUCUUAUCUAGAAUUCGGUAGAGGUCGAUGGAAUAUCCAGUGUAGAGGUGAAAUUCGCAGAUAUUGGAUAGAACACCAGUGGCGAAGGCGAUCGACUGGGCCGAUAUUGACGCUGAGGUACGAAAGCGUGGGUAGCAAACAGGAUUAGAUACCCUGGUAGUCCACGCCGUAAACUAUGUGUGCUAGCUGUCGGAGUCUUUAGGCUUCGGCGGCGGAGAGAAAUCAUUAAGCACACCGCCUGGGGAGUACGGCCGCAAGGUUAAAACUCAAAGGAAUUGACGGGGACCCGCACAAGCGGUGGAGUAUGUUGUUUAAUUCGAAGCAACGCGAAGAACCUUACCUACGCUUGACAUACCGGUUGGGAGGAGCAGAGAUGUUCUUCUUCAUUUAGUUGGACCGGAUACAGGUGCUGCAUGGCUGUCGUCAGCUCGUGUCGCGAGAUGUUGGGUAAGUCCCGCAACGAGCGCAACCCUUAUCGUAUGUUGCCAUCAUUAAGUUGGGCACUCGUGCGAGACCGCCGGUGACAAGCCGGAGGAAGGUGGGGACGACGUCAAGUCAUCAUGGCCCUUACGCGUAGGGCUACAAACGUACUACAAUGGCAGUGACAAUGGGCAGCGCGAUCGCGAGAUCAAGCAAAUCCCCAAAAGCUGUCUCAGUUCAGAUUGUACUCUGCGACUCGAGCGCAUGAAGCUGGAAUCGCUAGUAAUCGUGGAUCAGCAUGCCACGGUGAAUACGUUCCCGGGUCUUGUACACACCGCCCGUCACACCAUGGGAGUUGGUUCUACCUGAAGACAGUGCGCUAACCGCAAGGAGGCAGCUGGCCACGGUAGGGUCAAUGACUGGGGUGAAGUCGGAACAAGGUA